AAUGGCACAGCUAGCGACACGGUGACUUUAUUCACCCGCUUCGGCUGUUAUCAGUCCAUACAAUGGGCGUUAUUAGCAGAAAUCAGUCCCAUAGAUGUGGGCCAUCCACCUGCUAGAUUGUUCAGAAGGUUGUUAUCAUCCAUCCAGAUGGAGGAUCACUGACAGGAGCGUGGAAGACUCCAGAAUCCACUCUGGCUGGAAUCCGGUGGAUACAGCAGUGUUACAGAACAGUUCUCCACAGUCACUGUCCACAUGGGUCAGUGGGACCAAGCAGCACUCUGCUAAUGUGAGACUCUGACCAGCAACAUCCAGCAAGACCCAGACAGUGUUUUCUAUCUCCCAGCUGGAGUUUCUUUGUUUGUCUGUGACUGGAGAGUUAUAAUUUUGUUGAAGCUGGAGGAACAGCCUCACACUUGCAGAGGUAAGUCAGUUUAUAGAGAUCCCUCCCACCCUGGCUUUUAUGUGCUAGAUUUCUUAUCUGAAACAGUAAUAUUUCAGUGACUGCUGCUUAUACCACAUGUUAAUACACGCUACUGAUCCCUGAUGGGAGAAUCAUCACCUCUGCCAACAAAGAAGCCUGGUGGAUAUUUGUUUACAGUCUGAUGAUGGGACAUCAUGCUCUGCAUCUUCAAAGUUUGUCUCUUGAUUAUUAUUCAUACACAGUAAUGUGAAUUAUGCUUAUAUCUAGUAUAACUGGACCAACCUGGUGCUCUUCAUUUAUGGAGGCUGUUGAGUCUGAAUGUUGGAUGUUGUGUAUCUCUUGUUCUCUGGGCUUUGUUGUCCUCAGUCUUUUUGCAGAAUCAGAAAACAAAACCAGGAUGACCAUAAAUGUUUCUUCUCCAGUUGGAUGAUGAUAAGACCGUGACACGGGAUGCCACCUUUAGUCUUGUGAUGAAGCAAAGCUCAGGACGAAGUGUGAUUAAAUGGUACCCACAUGUGUGCUGCUGAGAAGGAUGUACAGGGGCACCUGCAGCCAAAUCCAAGCCUCCUCAGCAACUUCAAGUCUGUCAGCGUGCUGAGGUCACAGAAACAAGAAAAGCAGCUUCAGACUUCAGAGUGUUGUUUACAGUUUUCUGUCAUCAAUUAUCUCCCCUGAAGUUUAUCACUAUUACCCAAGCAGUAAGUCCAC